CCUUUGAUAGCUGAGCUGGUAAAGUGGAGGACUGUAGAUCCUUAGGUUGCUGGUUCAACUCUGGCUCAAAGGA